rnacentral:rRNA from 1 species
UACAGAGGGGGCGAGCGUUGUUCGGAAUUACUGGGCGUAAAGGGCGCGUAGGCGGCCAACUAAGUCAGACGUGAAAUCCCUCGGCUCAACCGGGGAACUGCGUCUGAUACUGGAUGGCUUGAAUUCGGGAGAGGGAUGCGGAAUUCCAGGUGUAGCGGUGAAAUGCGUAGAUAUCUGGAGGAACACCGGUGGCGAAGGCGGCAUCCUGGACCGAGAUUGACGCUGAUGCGCGAAAGCGUGGGGAGCGAACGGG